rnacentral:rRNA from 1 species
AACGUAGGAGACAAACGUUAUCCGGAGUUACUGGGCGUAAAGGGCGUGUAGGUGGUUUUGUAAGUCUGGCGUGAAAUUUUUCGGCUUAACCGGGAAAGGUCGUCGGAUACUGCAAGGCUAGAGGACGGUAGAGGCGUGUGGAAUUCCCGGUGUAGUGGUGGAAUGCGUAGAUAUCGGGAGGAACACCAGUGGCGAAGGCGGUUGCCUGGAGUCUUGCUGACGCUGAGGCGCGAAAGCGUGGGGAGCGAUCCGG